rnacentral:rRNA from 1 species
CCCUAUGGUGGGGGAUAACCCCGGGAAACUGGGGAUAAUACCCCAUAGACUAUGGAAGCUGGAAUGCUCUGUAGCCGAAAGGUCCGCCGCCAUAGGAUGAGUCUGCGGCCGAUUAGGUUGUUGUUGGGGUAACGGCCCAACAAGCCUGUAAUCGGUACGGGUUGUGGGAGCAAGAGCCCGGAGAUGGAUUCUGAGACACGAAUCCAGGCCCUACGGGGCGCAGCAGGCGCGAAAACUUUGCAAUGCGGGAAACCGUGACAAGGGAACUCCGAGUGCCCGUAAAUUCGGGCUGUCCAUCAGUUUAAAUAACUGGUGAAGAAAGGGCCGGGCAAGACCGGUGCCAGCCGCCGCGGUAAUACCGGCGGCUCGAGUGGUGGCCACUAUUACUGGGCUUAAAGCGUCCGUAGCUGGUCUGUUAAGUCUCUGGGGAAAUCUACCGGCUUAACCGGUAGGCGUCUCAGGGAUACUGGCAGACUAGGGACCGGGAGAGGUGAGGGGUACUCCAGGGGUAGGAGUGAAAUCCUGUAAUCCUUGGGGGACCACCUGUGGCGAAGGCGCCUCACCAGAACGGCUCCGACAGUGAGGGACGAAAGCUGGGGGAGCAAACCGGAUUAGAUACCCGGGUAGUCCCAGCUGUAAACGAUGCGCGUUAGGUGUAUCGGUGACCACGAGUCACCGAGGUGCCGAAGGGAAACCGUGAAACGUGCCGCCUGGGAAGUACGGUCGCAAGGCUGAAACUUAAAGGAAUUGGCGGGGGAGCA